GAUGAACGCUAGCUACAGGCUUAACACAUGCAAGUCGAGGGACCGGCGCACGGGUGAGUAACACGUAUCCAACCUGCCCUUUACUCGGGGAUAGCCUUUCGAAAGAAAGAUUCAUACCCGAUAUAAAGGAUGGGGAUGCGUUCCAUUAGGUUGUUGGGGAGGUAUAGGCUAACCAAGCCUUCGAUGGAUAGGGGUUCUGAGAGGAAGGUCCGUGACGGUGGAAAGGAGACACGGUCUAAACUCCUACGGGAGGCAGGAGUGAGGAAGAUUGGGCAAGAGGCGGUAGCCUGAACCAGCCAAGUAGCGUGAAGGAUGAAGGCUUAUGGGUCGUAAACUGCUAGAAUAUAAGAAUAUGUAUUAUAUGAAUAAGGAUCGGCUAAAGCCGUGGCAGCAGCCGCGGUAAGAC
rnacentral:rRNA from 1 species